AUUUAAUAAUUUGUGUCCUUGCUAUGCUUUACUAAAUUUUAAACAUAUUCUUAUACAUAGAGAAAAAAACAAAAAUUGCAAAUAUAUAAUUAAUUUUAAAUUGCAAAUAUGUAACUAUUUUAGGUAUUUUACUCCGCGCAAGCAAUGCGCAGAUUAUCACCUAGUGUUCUUAUUAUUUUUGAACUUUUUUAAUAUUUAGCUCUGUUUUCAGUAUGCAUGAAAUUUUAUUGUAUAUAAUUCCAUUUAAUUACUUAUAACGUCUAACAUAUUCUCGAGCUUAUAAAAAGAAUUCGGAACAUAUUUUUUUCUCUCUUUAACUGUUUUUUUCUCUCAUAAACGAAAGUUGCAUACAUAUUUUCUUUUGCUCCAGCGUUCGGUGCGCGCAUGCGUUCGGUGCGCUGACAUUAAAAACGUCUAUCUUCUCCAUUUCCUCUUUUUUCUUUUGCUCUCUAUUUCUCUCUUCCUCCUCUUGUCCACUCUGCCUUAUGCUCUGGAUCUCUCACGACCUUACUUCCCCGAUGUCAUGCUCAUGGGGCCCACUGCUAGCAAGGGUCUCUUGCUUUUGGCAUUCCGGCGUGGCUUUCUCUUGUAAUUUGUGGCUCCGGCGAGGUCGAGCGGUGGCGUUUGAGAUACUCCUCCGCUUGGUGCAUCGUCGGAAGAGCUUCAUUAUGUCAUCUCUCAAAGAUUUUCGGCAUUGGUCUUGCCGCGUCAGCGCGCCUCAAGGUCUGAAUGGUCGACAGGUGUCGGUCUUCUUGUCUUGGAAAUGGCGUGUGCAUCUCUGGUGCUCGGCGGUGUCAUAAAGUCGUCUAUGUCUGUGGCUGCUUCUGCGUUCCAUCUGCUUUGUCUUUACCUUCUCCGGUCACGCUGCACUUCCUCUGCUCUCCCUAUGAAUUGAUAUCGUGAUUGGUUAAGUUUGGGUUUAAUCUCUCUUUGCCUUAGCUUGCGGUUUGCCUUCGUCUUGCCUAGAAUAUUGUUGGGUCAGUCUUGAUUCUGGCUCUCAUAAUGGGCACACAGCGAGGCUUCGACUUUCCAAUUGUUCUAUGGUUUGUUUGUGUCUUGGUGGAUCCCUGUGUGAAACCCAGUAUUCCAUCACUAGAUUGUGUCACUUGACUCCCCCGGUGGCUGCGUUUUGAUCGACCUUGUGCUUGACAGAGCUGCAUUAGUGAUGUGUUGCUGUUGAUUCGUCAGCCUGCUUUCUAGUGUCUUUUAGCUUUGUGUCGGGCGGGCUCUAGCACGGAUAAAGGUGUGCACUGCUCUAGGAAUUCAUUGGGUUUGCUUCAUGAUGCUUUGUUGGUUUCUGCUGAGUUCUUGCUAAGGAUUAAUGUUCUCAGUCUCUUUUGGGUUCGUGCUGAGAAUCUCCGUGCUCAGAGUGUCGUCAGGAGGCCAUGGUUCGUAACUAAAAGCAUCUUCGUGAGGGUAGGGUUCGUGAAAAAUUGUGUUGUCGGUUUUCUAUAUGUUUUGCGGUUGUUAAUGAGAAAGUGUAGGAUUUAAUUGUUUACAAUGUAAAUCCUAAUGAUUUAGUUCUUUUAAGUAUUUUUCAUCUUUUUGGUACUUAAACAAGAAAAGAAACAGUAUGUAGUAUCAUUUUCAUUAAUGAAUAUCUAUUAUUUAGGAAAAUAAGAAAAAAAAACUCUAACUUCGUCAUUUCAA